rnacentral:lncRNA from 1 species
AUUCAAUAAGUACAAUAUCACAUAUAACUUCAUUCAUGAUCCUUUUCUUUGAAAUCCUUCUCUUUAUCGGGUACCCUUGAAGUGUGGUACUUGACUGAUAGCAAUAGGCUUUCGUUUUCGGAACCUGUUCAUCAUAUUUGGCCAUAGAUAAUACGGGGGUUUCCAUACCGGCCUUUCGACCUCAGGUAUUAGCCGUAUUUCAUUUCAUUAAUUGUGGGUUUUCCAUACUGGUCUUUCGACCUCAGGUAUUUGCCACCAUGUGUUGGGUCCGCCGGUUCCUCCCGCGUCCCUUGCCUACUCGACCAUCAAUCAAGUAACAUACUCCCAUUUUCAAAACAUAUUCUUUCAUAUCACUAUGACUCAUCAAUCAUUCAAACAUCAUGGAGAACACAUAGCAAAAGUCACAUUAAAACACACAUAAUUAGGUUCUUACGAUGAACAAAUGAAAGCUUCCACUUACCUCAAGCCCAAUAUGGUCUAUGAAGUGAAAAGAUCAGUCUCAUAUAGGUUGUGCUAGAGUCCUUGAUUAUAGAUGAAUUCAAACUUCAAAACGUAGGAUUUUCAGCUAGAAAAGGUGAAGAACUUGUUCUAGCU